CACGGGUGCGUACACGUAUGUAACCUACCUUGUUCAGGGGGAUAGCCUCUCGAAAGAGAGAUUAAGACCGCAUAAUGUUAUUGAAUGGCAUCGUUUGAUAACCAAAUAUUUAUAGGAACAAGAUGGGCAUGCGGAACAUUAGCUAGUUGGUAAGGUAACGGCUUACCAAGGCUACGAUGUUUAGGGGAUCUGAGAGGAUGACCCCCCACACUGGUACUGAGACACGGACCAGACUCCUACGGGAGGCAGCAGUAAGGAAUAUUGGUCAAUGGGCGGAAGCCUGAACCAGCCAUGCCGCGUGCAGGAAGACGGCCCUAUGGGUUGUAAACUGCUUUUGUACGGGAAUAAACCUCGCUAUGUAUAGUGAGCUGAAUGUACUGUAAGAAUAAGGAUCGGCUAACUCCGUGCCAGCAGCCGCGGUAAUACGGAGGAUCCAAGCGUUAUCCGGAUUUAUUGGGUUUAAAGGGUGCGUAGGUGGUUCAUUAAGUCAGGGGUGAAAGACGGCAGCUUAACUGUCGCAGUGCCUUUGAUACUGAUGAACUUGAAUGAACUAGAGGUAGGCGGAAUGUGACAAGUAGCGGUGAAAUGCAUAGAUAUGUCACAGAACACCAAUUGCGAAGGCAGCUUACUAUGGUUUGAUUGACACUGAGGCACGAAAGCGUGGGGAUCAAACAGGAUUAGAUACCCUGGUAGUCCACGCCCUAAACGAUGAAUACUCGAUGUUGGCGAUAUACGGUCAGCGUCUAAGCGAAAGCGUUAAGUAUUCCACCUGGGGAGUACGCCCGCAAGGGUGAAACUCAAAGGAAUUGACGGGGGCCCGCAC
rnacentral:rRNA from 1 species